UACGGGGGGGGCAAGCGUUGUUCGGAAUUACUGGGCGUAAAGGGCUCGUAGGCGGCCAACUAAGUCGGAUGUGAAAUCCCCAGGCUUAACCUGGGAACUGCAUCCGAUACUGGAUGGCUUGAAUUCGGGAGAGGGAUGCAGAAUUCCAGGUGUAGCGGUGAAAUGCGUAGAUAUCUGGAGGAAUGCCGGUGGCGAAGGCGGCAUCCUGGACCGAGAUUGACACUGAUGAGCGAAAGCCAGGGGAGCAAACGGG
rnacentral:rRNA from 1 species